AGCGGCGGACGGGUGAGUAACACGUGGGUAACCUGCCCAAGAGACUGGGAUAACACCUGGAAACAGAUGCUAAUACCGGAUAACAACACUAGACGCAUGUCUAGAGUUUGAAAGAUGGUUCUGCUAUCACUCUUGGAUGGACCUGCGGUGCAUUAGCUAGUUGGUAAGGUAACGGCUUACCAAGGCAAUGAUGCAUAGCCGAGUUGAGAGACUGAUCGGCCACAUUGGGACUGAGACACGGCCCAAACUCCUACGGGAGGCAGCAGUAGGGAAUCUUCCACAAUGGACGAAAGUCUGAUGGAGCAACGCCGCGUGAGUGAAGAAGGGUUUCGGCUCGUAAAGCUCUGUUGGUAGUGAAGAAAGAUAGAGGUAGUAACUGGCCUUUAUUUGACGGUAAUUACUUAGAAAGUCACGGCUAACUACGUGCCAGCAGCCGCGGUAAUACGUAGGUGGCAAGCGUUGUCCGGAUUUAUUGGGCGUAAAGCGAGUGCAGGCGGUUCAAUAAGUCUGAUGUGAAAGCCUUCGGCUCAACCGGAGAAUUGCAUCAGAAACUGUUGAACUUGAGUGCAGAAGAGGAGAGUGGAACUCCAUGUGUAGCGGUGGAAUGCGUAGAUAUAUGGAAGAACACCAGUGGCGAAGGCGGCUCUCUGGUCUGCAACUGACGCUGAGGCUCGAAAGCAUGGGUAGCGAACAGGAUUAGAUACCCUGGUAGUCCAUGCCGUAAACGAUGAAUGCUA
rnacentral:rRNA from 1 species